rnacentral:rRNA from 1 species
CUCAGGACGAACGCUGGCGGCGUGCCUAAUACAUGCAAGUCGAGCGGACCGACGGGAGCUUGCUCCCUUAGGUCAGCGGCGGACGGGUGAGUAACACGUGGGUAACCUGCCUGUAAGACUGGGAUAACUCCGGGAAACCGGGGCUAAUACCGGAUGCUUGAUUGAACCGCAUGGUUCAAUUAUAAAAGGUGGCUUUUAGCUACCACUUACAGAUGGACCCGCGGCGCAUUAGCUAGUUGGUGAGGUAACGGCUCACCAAGGCAACGAUGCGUAGCCGACCUGAGAGGGUGAUCGGCCACACUGGGACUGAGACACGGCCCAGACUCCUACGGGAGGCAGCAGUAGGGAAUCUUCCGCAAUGGACGAAAGUCUGACGGAGCAACGCCGCGUGAGUGAUGAAGGUUUUCGGAUCGUAAAACUCUGUUGUUAGGGAAGAACAAGUACCGUUCGAAUAGGGCGGUACCUUGACGGUACCUAACCAGAAAGCCACGGCUAACUACGUGCCAGCAGCCGCGGUAAUACGUAGGUGGCAAGCGUUGUCCGGAAUUAUUGGGCGUAAAGCGCGCGCAGGCGGUUUCUUAAGUCUGAUGUGAAAGCCCCCGGCUCAACCGGGGAGGGUCAUUGGAAACUGGGGAACUUGAGUGCAGAAGAGGAGAGUGGAAUUCCACGUGUAGCGGUGAAAUGCGUAGAGAUGUGGAGGAACACCAGUGGCGAAGGCGACUCUCUGGUCUGUAACUGACGCUGAGGCGCGAAAGCGUGGGGAGCGAACAGGAUUAGAUACCCUGGUAGUCCACGCCGUAAACGAUGAGUGCUAAGUGUUAGAGGGUUUCCGCCCUUUAGUGCUGCAGCAAACGCAUUAAGCACUCCGCCUGGGGAGUACGGUCGCAAGACUGAAACUCAAAGGAAUUGACGGGGGCCCGCACAAGCGGUGGAGCAUGUGGUUUAAUUCGAAGCAACGCGAAGAACCUUACCAGGUCUUGACAUCCUCUGACAACCCUAGAGAUAGGGCUUCCCCUUCGGGGGCAGAGUGACAGGUGGUGCAUGGUUGUCGUCAGCUCGUGUCGUGAGAUGUUGGGUUAAGUCCCGCAACGAGCGCAACCCUUGAUCUUAGUUGCCAGCAUUCAGUUGGGCACUCUAAGGUGACUGCCGGUGACAAACCGGAGGAAGGUGGGGAUGACGUCAAAUCAUCAUGCCCCUUAUGACCUGGGCUACACACGUGCUACAAUGGGCAGAACAAAGGGCAGCGAAGCCGCGAGGCUAAGCCAAUCCCACAAAUCUGUUCUCAGUUCGGAUCGCAGUCUGCAACUCGACUG